ACAGGAAACAGCUUGCUGCCUUCGCUGACGAGUGGCGGACGGGUGAGAAAGACUAGGGAAACUGCCUGAUGGAGGGGGAUAACUACUGGAAACGGUAGCUAAUACCGCAUAACGUCGCAAGACCAAAGAGGGGGACCUUCGGGCCUCUUGCCAUCGGAUGUGCCCAGAUGGGAUUAGCUAGUAGGUGGGGUAACGGCUCACCUAGGCGACGAUCCCUAGCUGGUCUGAGAGGAUGACCAGCCACACUGGAACUGAGACACGGUCCAGACUCCUACGGGAGGCAGCAGUGGGGAAUAUUGCACAAUGGGCGCAAGCCUGAUGCAGCCAUGCCGCGUGUAUGAAGAAGGCCUUCGGGUUGUAAAGUACUUUCAGCGGGGAGGAAGGGAGUAAAGUUAAUACCUUUGCUCAUUGACGUUACCCGCAGAAGAAGCACCGGCUAACUCCGUGCCAGCAGCCGCGGUAAUACGGAGGGUGCAAGCGUUAAUCGGAAUUACUGGGCGUAAAGCGCACGCAGGCGGUUUGUUAAGUCAGAUGUGAAAUCCCCGGGCUCAACCUGGGAACUGCAUCUGAUACUGGCAAGCUUGAGUCUCGUAGAGGGGGGUAGAAUUCCAUG
rnacentral:rRNA from 1 species